GCAUCGAUGAAGAACGCAGCGAAAUGCGAUACUUGGUGUGAAUUGCAGAAUCCCGUGAACCAUCGAGUCUUUGAACGCAAGUUGCGCCUGAAGCCUUUUGGUUGAGGGCACGUCUGCCUGGGCGUCACGCAUCGCGUCUCCCCCAACCCACCUUGCGUGGGAAGGUGGGAGGAAGAUGGCUUCCCAUGCCUCACCGGGCAUGGUUGGCCUAAAUAAGGAGCCUUAGGUUACAAAAUGCUGCGGCUACUGGUGGUACCACAAGGCUCAGCCUAGCUGUAUCGAGUCGCGCAGGACGUAGCCUUUACGGCCUUGUAGGACCCUGAGUGUCCCCUUUAGGAGACAAACCGUUGCGACCCCAGGUCAGGCGGGGCUACCCGCUGAGUUUAAGCAUAUCAAUAAG
rnacentral:misc_RNA from 1 species